UACGGAGGGUGCGAGCGUUGUCCGGAAUCAUUGGGCGUAAAGGGCGCGUAGGUGGCCUGCUAAGCGUGCGGUGAAAGCUCGGGGCUCAACCCCGAGUCGGCCGUGCGAACUGGUGGGCUUGAGCACUGUAGAGGCAGGCGGAAUUCCGGGUGUAACGGUGGAAUGCGUAGAGAUCCGGAAGAACACCGGUGGCGAAGGCGGCCUGCUGGGCAGUAGCUGACACUGAGGCGCGACAGCGUGGGGAGCAAACAGG
rnacentral:rRNA from 1 species